rnacentral:rRNA from 1 species
CCUACGGGAGGCAGCAGUGAGGACUAUUGGUCAAUGGGCGGAAGCCUGAACCAGCCAAGUAGCGUGCAGGAUGACUGCCCUCCGGGUUGUAAACUGCUUUUAUACGGGAAUAAUGAGCCUUACGUGUAGGGCUUUGCAUGUACCGUAUGAAUAAGGACCGGCUAAUUCCGUGCCCGCAGCCGCGGUAAUACGGAAGGUCCGAGCGGUAUCCGGAUUUAUUGGGUUUAAAGGGAUCGUAGGCUGUAUGUCAAGCGUGCUGUGAAAUGUCCGGGCUUAACCCGGGUCUUGCCGCGCGAACUGGCGUGCUUGAGUCCGCGGAAAGCAGGCGGAAUACGUCGAGUAGCGGUGAAAUGCUUAGAUAUGACGUAGAACCCCGAUUGCGAAGGCAGCUUGCUGCAGCGGAACUGAUGCUGAUGCUCGAGAGCGCGGGUAUCGAACAGGAUUAGAUACCCUAGUAGUC